rnacentral:lncRNA from 1 species
ACAGUCCUGAGCAUCUAGUGGAGUGCUGCCCUAGUCUGCCUAACAUAAAGGCCGAGCAAGCAAAUGCUCUAAAUUCAUAUAGUGCCUUUAAGAAGCCCACUCCCAACUCGUUCAGCCCAGUUUACCACCCUGAUAAUAGGUUCCACCCAAAUUUCUCAUACAAGCAAAAUGAACCUAUUCAGCAUCAAGGUGGUCCACCAGAUUUUCAGAACAACUUCCCCAGGAUAGGUCCACCACAAAUGAACCAACCUUUGGUUCCAUCUGUACCGCCUUAUAAUGCCCCUAUCCCACAGCAACCUUCACAAUUAGAAUCCAUGAUGGCUAAUAUGAUGAAACAACAACAAGAUUUUAUCAAGCAACAACAACAGACCAAUACAGCCCAAGCCCAGACUAACCAAUUCCAUGCGCAAGCAAUUGCAAAACUUGAGG